rnacentral:rRNA from 1 species
AACCAGCACCUCAAGUUGUCAGGAGGAUUAUUGGGCCUAAAGCAUCCGUAGCCGGCUCUGUUAGUUUUCGGUUAAAUCCAUAUGCUCAACAUAUGGGCUGUCGGAAAUACUGCAGAGCUAGGGAAUGGGAGAGGUAGACGGUACUCGGUAGGAAGGGGUAAAAUCCUUUGAUCUAUCGAUGACCACCUGUGGCGAAGGCGGUCUACCAGAACAUGUUCGACGGUGAGGGAUGAAAGCUGGGGGAGCAAACCGG